UGCUGCAGGACCACAGCCGACCGAGU
rnacentral:piRNA from 1 species